UACGUAGGUGGCAAGCGUUGUCCGGAUUUACUGGGCGUAAAGAGCGCGCAGGCGGUCGUUCAAGUCGCGUGUGAAAGCCCCCGGCUCAACUGGGGAGGGUCACGCGAUACUGAUCGACUCGAAGGCAGGAGAGGGUAGUGGAAUUCCCGGUGUAGUGGUGAAAUGCGUAGAUAUCGGGAGGAACACCAGAGGUGAAGACGGGUUGCUGGGCUGACACUGACGCUGAGGCGCGAAAGCCAGGGGAGCAAACGGG
rnacentral:rRNA from 1 species